rnacentral:rRNA from 1 species
UACGGGGGGAGCAAGCGUUGUUCGGAUUUACUGGGCGUAAAGGGCGCGUAGGCGGCCACCGCAAGUCAGUUGUGAAAGCUCUGGGCUUAACCCAGAAAGGUCAACUGAUACUGCGGGGCUAGAGUGCAGAAGGGGCAACUGGAAUUCUCGGUGUAGCGGUGAAAUGCGUAGAUAUCGGGAGGAACACCAGUGGCGAAGGUGAGUCUCUGGGAUGAUGCUGACGCUGAGGCGCGAAAGCCAGGGGAGCAAACGGG